rnacentral:lncRNA from 1 species
GAUUAAGAUUUGAUUAGGAUUUAGGGUUAGGGUUAGGAUUUGGUUUAGAUUAAGAUUUGAUAAGGAUUUAGGGUUAGGAUUAGGAUUUUAUUAGGAUUUGGUUUAGGAUUUAGGAUUUGAAUAGGGUUAGGAUUUGAUUAGGAUUUAAAGUUAGGGUUUGACUAGGAUUUGAUUAGGAUUUGUUUAGGAUUUGACUAGGAUUUGUUCAGGGUUUGGAAUUGAUUAGGAUUUUUUAGGGUUAUGAUUUAUCUAAGAUUUGAUUAGGAUAUGUUUACGAUUUAGGGUUUUUAUAGGAUUUGAUUAAGGUUAGAUU